CCUACGGGAGGCAGCAGUGAGGAAUAUUGGUCAAUGGACGGAAGUCUGAACCAGCCAUGCCGCGUGCAGGAUGACGGCUCUAUGAGUUGUAAACUGCUUUUGUAUGAGAAUAAUAGUUUUUACGUGUAGGGAUUUGUAUGUACCGUACGAAUAAGGAUCGGCUAACUCCGUGCCAGCAGCCGCGGUAAUACGGAGGAUUCGAGCGUUAUCCGGAUUUAUUGGGUUUAAAGGGUGCGUAGGCUGUUGGAUAAGUUAGAGGUCAAAUGUCGGGGCUUAACCGCGUACCUGCAUCUGAUACUGUUCGACUAGAGUGCGGAAGAGGCAGGCGGAAUGAGUAGUGUAGCGGUGAAAUGCUUAGAUAUUACUAAGAACACCGAUUGCGAAGGCAGCUCACUGAUCCGCAACUGACGCUGAUGCACGAAAGCGUGGGUAGCAAACAGGAUUAGAUACCCGAGUAGUC
rnacentral:rRNA from 1 species